UUGAAUGUACCCCUUCCCCUCUUAGGGAUGA
rnacentral:piRNA from 1 species